UACAGAGGUCUCAAGCGUUGUUCGGAUUCAUUGGGCGUAAAGGGUGCGUAGGUGGCGGGGUAAGUCAGGUGUGAAAUCUCGGAGCUCAACUCCGAAACUGCACUUGAUACUGCCUUGCUCGAGUACUGGAGAGGAGAUUGGAAUUUACGGUGUAGCAGUGAAGUGCGUAGAUAUCGUAAGGAAGACCAGUGGCGAAGGCGAAGCUCUGGACAGUUACUGACACUGAGGCACGAAGGCCAGGGGAGCAAACGGG
rnacentral:rRNA from 1 species